rnacentral:rRNA from 1 species
UGAAUUGCAGAAUCCCGUGAACCAUCGAGUCUUUGAACGCAAGUUGCGCCCGAAGCCAUUAGGCCGAGGGCACGUCUGCCUGGGCGUCA